UCCAGCCUGCAGGUGGCACAAGAGAGCACCUCUGUGCAGUGAGGGAAGGCUGGCUGUGACAUGAGGAGUGCGGAGAUCUCCGGAGGAAGAACAGAGGAGGGCCAACCAUGUCUUCCCGAUUUGCUUUUAUGACUAUCAAAAUUUGCUUUCUAUUGCACUACAUCUGAGUGGUCCUGACGAAGCUGGGCAGCCACGAAACGCGUAGAUCCACACUAAGGACUAGUGGACUAUCUAUUGUGAUGUAUUUUAGGCAGCUAUGUCAGUGCUACAUUUCUUUGAUAUUUUAAAAUUGUAUAAAAUAAAAAUUGUGUUUUUUUAAUAUAUAUAAAA